AAGCUCGUAGUUGAAUUUCGGGAUCAAUACGUCGGUCGUGCUUUCGGGUACGUACUGGCGUCAUUGGUUUCUCCUUUCUGACGAACCAUGAUGUCAUUAAUUUGGUGUUAUGGGGAGUUAGGACUGUUACUUUGAAAAAAUUAGAGUGUUUAAAGCAGGCAUUAGCUUGAAUACAUUAGCAUGGAAUAAUGAAAUAGGACGUUCGAUCCUAUUUUGUUGGUUUCUAGGAUCAACGUAAUGAUUAAUAGGGAUAGUUGGG
rnacentral:rRNA from 1 species